rnacentral:tRNA from 1 species
GCGGAUAUAACUCAAUGGUAGAGUGCCGGGUUGUGAUUCCGUAUGUUAUGGGUUCAAGUCCCAUUAUUCGCCCA